AUUGAACGCUGGCGGCAGGCCUAACACAUGCAAGUCGAACGGUAACAGGAAGAAGCUUGCUUCUUUGCUGACGAGUGGCGGACGGGUGAGUAAUGUCUGGGAAACUGCCUGAUGGAGGGGGAUAACUACUGGAAACGGUAGCUAAUACCGCAUAAUGUCGCAAGACCAAAGAGGGGGACCUUCGGGCCUCUUGCCAUCGGAUGUGCCCAGAUGGGAUUAGCUAGUAGGUGGGGUAACGGCUCACCUAGGCGACGAUCCCUAGCUGGUCUGAGAGGAUGACCAGCCACACUGGAACUGAGACACGGUCCAGACUCCUACGGGAGGCAGCAGUGGGGAAUAUUGCACAAUGGGCGCAAGCCUGAUGCAGCUAUGCCGCGUGUAUGAAGAAGGCCUUCGGGUUGUAAAGUACUUUCAGCGGGGAGGAAGGGAGUAAAGUUAAUACCUUUACUCAUUGACGUUACCCGCAGAAGAAGCACCGGCUAACUCCGUG
rnacentral:rRNA from 1 species